rnacentral:rRNA from 1 species
CAGUAGCCGCGGGAAUACGGAGGGUGCAAGCGUUAUCCGGAUUUAUUGGGUUUAAAGGGUCCGUAGGCGGACUUAUAAGUCAGUGGUGAAAGCCUGUCGCUUAACGAUAGAACUGCCAUUGAUACUGUAAGUCUUGAGUAUAUUUGAGGUAGCUGGAAUAAGUAGUGUAGCGGUGAAAUGCAUAGAUAUUACUUAGAACACCAAUUGCGAAGGCAGGUUACCAAGAUAUAACUGACGCUGAGGGACGAAAGCGUGGGUAGCGAACAGGAUUAGAUACCCAGUAGUCCCUGUCUCUUAUACA